CCCUUAGAUGUUCUGGGCCGCACGCGCGCUACACUGACGGAGUCGACGAGUGGUCCUGCAUCGAAAGGUGUGGGUAAUCUUUGGAAACUUCGUCGUGCUGGGGAUAGAUCUUUGCAAUUAUCGAUCUUGAACGAGGAAUUCCUAGUAAGCGUGAUUCAUCAGAUCGCGUUGAUUACGUCCCUGCCCUUUGUACACACCGCCCGUCGCUACUACCGAUUGAAUGGUUUAGUGAGGCCUCGGGACUGGCGCAGGUCGGCGGUUUCGCCCCUUGCGCCGGGAACUUGGUCAAACUUGAUCAUUUAGAGGAAGUAAAAGUCGUAACA
rnacentral:rRNA from 1 species